CCCUGUCUAGCGGAGGACAUUACCGAAGUUACUCUUCAUACCCUUUUGUGAACACUACCCCAUUGCCGCGCGUUGCCUCGGCGGGGAGGUCUGGGGGGUUGCGCUCCGGCGCUCCCCCCGGGCCCCCGCCGGCCGCGCCGAACUCUUCAUUUGCAAAGCGGACUGUACGAUCUGAUUAUAUCUUGAAAAACAAGUCAAAACUUUCAACAACGGAUCUCUUGGUUCUGGCAUCGAUGAAGAACGCAGCGAAAUGCGAUAAGUAAUGUGAAUUGCAGAAUUCAGUGAAUCAUCGAAUCUUUGAACGCACAUUGCGCCCGGCAGCAAUCUGCCGGGCAUGCCUGUCCGAGCGUCAUUUCUGCCCUCGAGCGCGGUUCGGCCCCUAGCGGGCCGGCCGCCGCCCGGUGUUGGGGCGCUGCAAAAACGCGUGCCCCCAAGCAAAAAAAUGAACGAACGGUACCACCCCCCCGCAAUCUCCGAACUAAAAGCACAUCGUAGGGGGGCAAUUGGAAACGUUCAUUAGUGUGUCUGUCGAGGAUUAAUAGGGAUUAAGCAGGACUACAGUCAAUCACAAGCUACAAAAAAA
rnacentral:misc_RNA from 1 species